CCAGCAGCCGCGGUAAUUCCUACGGGAGGCAGCAGUGGGGAAUUUUGGCACGCAAUGGGCGCAAGCCUGAUCCAGCAAUGCCGCGUGAGUGAAGAAGGCCUUCGGGUUGUAAAGCUCUUUCAGUUGAGAAGAAAAGGUUGUGACUAAUAAUCACAAUUGAUGACGGUAUCAACAGAAGAAGCACCGGCUAACUACGUGCCAGCAGCCGCGGUAAU
rnacentral:rRNA from 1 species